rnacentral:rRNA from 1 species
GGGUUGUGAGGUUAAGCGACUAAGCGUACACGGUGGAUGCCCUGGCAGUCAGAGGCGAUGAAGGACGUGCUAAUCUGCGAUAAGCGUCGGUAAGGUGAUAUGAACCGUUAUAACCGGCGAUUUCCGAAUGGGGAAACCCAGUGUGAUUCGUCACACUAUCAUUAACUGAAUCCAUAGGUUAAUGAGGCGAACCGGGGGAACUGAAACAUCUAAGUACCCCGAGGAAAAGAAAUCAACCGAGAUUCCCCCAGUAGCGGCGAGCGAACGGGGAGCAGCCCAGAGCCUGAAUCAGUGUGUGUGUUAGUGGAAGCGUCUGGAAAGGCGCGCGAUACAGGGUGACAGCCCCGUACACAAAAAUGCACAUGCUGUGAGCUCGAUGAGUAGGGCGGGACACGUGGUAUCCUGUCUGAAUAUGGGGGGACCAUCCUCCAAGGCUAAAUACUCCUGACUGACCGAUAGUGAACCAGUACCGUGAGGGAAAGGCGAAAAGAACCCCGGCGAGGGGAGUGAAAAAGAACCUGAAACCGUGUACGUACAAGCAGUGGGAGCACGCUUAGGCGUGUGACUGCGUACCUUUUGUAUAAUGGGUCAGCGACUUAUAUUCUGUAGCAAGGUUAACCGAAUAGGGGAGCCGAAGGGAAACCGAGUCUUAACUGGGCGUUAAGUUGCAGGGUAUAGACCCGAAACCCGGUGAUCUAGCCAUGGGCAGGUUGAAGGUUGGGUAACACUAACUGGAGGACCGAACCGACUAAUGUUGAAAAAUUAGCGGAUGACUUGUGGCUGGGGGUGAAAGGCCAAUCAAACCGGGAGAUAGCUGGUUCUCCCCGAAAGCUAUUUAGGUAGCGCCUCGUGAAUUCAUCUCCGGGGGUAGAGCACUGUUUCGGCAAGGGGGUCAUCCCGACUUACCAACCCGAUGCAAACUGCGAAUACCGGAGAAUGUUAUCACGGGAGACACACGGCGGGUGCUAACGUCCGUCGUGAAGAGGGAAACAACCCAGACCGCCAGCUAAGGUCCCAAAGUCAUGGUUAAGUGGGAAACGAUGUGGGAAGGCCCAGACAGCCAGGAUGUUGGCUUAGAAGCAGCCAUCAUUUAAAGAAAGCGUAAUAGCUCACUGGUCGAGUCGGCCUGCGCGGAAGAUGUAACGGGGCUAAACCAUGCACCGAAGCUGCGGCAGCGACGCUUAUGCGUUGUUGGGUAGGGGAGCGUUCUGUAAGCCUGCGAAGGUGUGCUGUGAGGCAUGCUGGAGGUAUCAGAAGUGCGAAUGCUGACAUAAGUAACGAUAAAGCGGGUGAAAAGCCCGCUCGCCGGAAGACCAAGGGUUCCUGUCCAACGUUAAUCGGGGCAGGGUGAGUCGACCCCUAAGGCGAGGCCGAAAGGCGUAGUCGAUGGGAAACAGGUUAAUAUUCCUGUACUUGGUGUUACUGCGAAGGGGGGACGGAGAAGGCUAUGUUGGCCGGGCGACGGUUGUCCCGGUUUAAGCGUGUAGGCUGGUUUUCCAGGCAAAUCCGGAAAAUCAAGGCUGAGGCGUGAUGACGAGGCACUACGGUGCUGAAGCAACAAAUGCCCUGCUUCCAGGAAAAGCCUCUAAGCAUCAGGUAACAUCAAAUCGUACCCCAAACCGACACAGGUGGUCAGGUAGAGAAUACCAAGGCGCUUGAGAGAACUCGGGUGAAGGAACUAGGCAAAAUGGUGCCGUAACUUCGGGAGAAGGCACGCUGAUAUGUAGGUGAAGCGACUUGCUCGUGGAGCUGAAAUCAGUCGAAGAUACCAGCUGGCUGCAACUGUUUAUUAAAAACACAGCACUGUGCAAACACGAAAGUGGACGUAUACGGUGUGACGCCUGCCCGGUGCCGGAAGGUUAAUUGAUGGGGUUAGCGCAAGCGAAGCUCUUGAUCGAAGCCCCGGUAAACGGCGGCCGUAACUAUAACGGUCCUAAGGUAGCGAAAUUCCUUGUCGGGUAAGUUCCGACCUGCACGAAUGGCGUAAUGAUGGCCAGGCUGUCUCCACCCGAGACUCAGUGAAAUUGAACUCGCUGUGAAGAUGCAGUGUACCCGCGGCAAGACGGAAAGACCCCGUGAACCUUUACUAUAGCUUGACACUGAACAUUGAGCCUUGAUGUGUAGGAUAGGUGGGAGGCUUUGAAGUGUGGACGCCAGUCUGCAUGGAGCCGACCUUGAAAUACCACCCUUUAAUGUUUGAUGUUCUAACGUUGACCCGUGAUCCGGGUUGCGGACAGUGUCUGGUGGGUAGUUUGACUGGGGCGGUCUCCUCCUAAAGAGUAACGGAGGAGCACGAAGGUUGGCUAAUCCUGGUCGGACAUCAGGAGGUUAGUGCAAUGGCAUAAGCCAGCUUGACUGCGAGCGUGACGGCGCGAGCAGGUGCGAAAGCAGGUCAUAGUGAUCCGGUGGUUCUGAAUGGAAGGGCCAUCGCUCAACGGAUAAAAGGUACUCCGGGGAUAACAGGCUGAUACCGCCCAAGAGUUCAUAUCGACGGCGGUGUUUGGCACCUCGAUGUCGGCUCAUCACAUCCUGGGGCUGAAGUAGGUCCCAAGGGUAUGGCUGUUCGCCAUUUAAAGUGGUACGCGAGCUGGGUUUAGAACGUCGUGAGACAGUUCGGUCCCUAUCUGCCGUGGGCGCUGGAGAACUGAGGGGGGCUGCUCCUAGUACGAGAGGACCGGAGUGGACGCAUCACUGGUGUUCGGGUUGUCAUGCCAAUGGCACUGCCCGGUAGCUAAAUGCGGAAGAGAUAAGUGCUGAAAGCAUCUAAGCACGAAACUUGCCCCGAGAUGAGUUCUCCCUGACUCCUUGAGAGUCCUGAAGGAACGUUGAAGACGACGACGUUGAUAGGCCGGGUGUGUAAGCGCAGCGAUGCGUUGAGCUAACCGGUACUAAUGAACCGUGAGGCUUAACCUUACAACGCCGAAGGUGUUU